GUAAGAGACUCUGAGUGUGUGUGGGCAUCCUUCUGCACUUUCAUAUAUAAAGGUUGAGCCAUUAGUGAGGAGUUUUUUUUUGAUCAGUCAGAUGUGUCUCAGACUUUCUAUAAGACAGCACUGAACUUUAAUGCUACUCCUGACCUGUGAGUGUGUGUAUGCAAAUUACAGGGUCAGAAAGCUCAUGGAUUUCAAAAAUAUCUUAAUUUGUGUUCUGAAGAUGAACGAAGGUCUUACGGGUUUGGAACAACAUGAAGACAAGUGUGACACUCACCGGAGCGAUCUGUGUGUUUGAGGAGGGAGCCCUGUGUGUGCGGACAGCGUUGCUAUGGAAACGGAUGUGGGUGAUUCAUGGAGCGUGUCAGGCUGAAAAAUAAAUCUCACACCUACAUGUGUGUAUGAGAGAGAGAGACAGAGAGUGGGCAUGGUGAUGGUUUAAUGGGUUUGAGUG